rnacentral:rRNA from 1 species
ACGCUGGCGGCAUGCCUUACACAUGCAAGUCGAACGGCAGCACGGAGCUUGCUCUGGUGGCGAGUGGCGAACGGGUGAGUAAUAUAUCGGAACGUACCCUGGAGUGGGGGAUAACGUAGCGAAAGUUACGCUAAUACCGCAUACGAUCUAAGGAUGAAAGUGGGGGAUCGCAAGACCUCAUGCUCGUGGAGCGGCCGAUAUCUGAUUAGCUAGUUGGUAGGGUAAAAGCCUACCAAGGCAUCGAUCAGUAGCUGGUCUGAGAGGACGACCAGCCACACUGGAACUGAGACGCGGUCCAGACUCCUACGGGAGGCAGCAGUGGGGAAUUUUGGACAAUGGGCGCAAGCCUGAUCCAGCAAUGCCGCGUGAGUGAAGAAGGCCUUCGGGUUGUAAAGCUCUUUUGUCAGGGAAGAAACGGUGAGGGCUAAUAUCCUUUGCUAAUGACGGUACCUGAAGAAUAAGCACCGGCUAACUACGUGCCAGCAGCCGCGGUAAUACGUAGGGUGCAAGCGUUAAUCGGAAUUACUGGGCGUAAAGCGUGCGCAGGCGGUUUGCAAGUCUGAUGUGAAAUCCCCGGGCUCAACCUGGGAAUUGCAUUGGAGACUGCAAGGCUAGAAUCUGGCAGAGGGGGGUAGAAUUCCACGUGUAGCAGUGAAAUGCGUAGAUAUGUGGAGGAACACCGAUGGCGAAGGCAGCCCCCUGGGUCAAGAUUGACGCUCAUGCACGAAAGCGUGGGGAGCAAAC